ACAGCGGCGGAGGGGUGGGCGGGGCUUCCGAGCGGUGAAUGGAGGCGAAUAAAGAACGGGCGGGGCUUAAGAGACAGCGCGGUGUUUUGGGAAGGAGUAGUUAUCUGAGCCAGAUCGAGCUCUUCCCGAACCCUCCUGGGGUAUUGUUGUUAUUCAGUCCAGAGUGAGGGCAGGAAGAAGUCUAUCAGCAACCAGGAGCAUGGUCACCAAAGCUGUUGCCCUGGGACUGAGAACAGAAGGGGAACACAUUCCAGCUUCUGCCAUCAGCCGGGGGACCGAGGGCUACUGGGAGGCUGUGGCCCCUGCAUCUCAGGAAUAAUAGCAAGGCAAGGGGGAGUCCAACCUGACAUCAUUCAUCAGGCAGAGGAGGAGGAGCCAGAGGGAGCUGGCUUCCACAUCCCCUGCCUGAAAGAAUACUCUGCUCCAGCUGCCUGUUGCCCUCUGGGACUGCAGGAGCAAGCAAGAGGAAGGAGCUCUCUGGCCCCAUCCAUCAUCCAAAGGAACAAGAGCCGCCAACUGCUUUCCAAGCAGGAACAGCAGCAAAGAAAAAUAUCAGCCUGGCCUGAACUGGAUAAAAAUGCCCUCUUUGAGCUCACCAAUUUGAUCAGCCCUUGAAGAACUGAUCUCCCUCCUCUAUCGUUUCCAUUCACUCCCCUUUCCUCAUGGAUCUGGUCUUAACAAGCUAACAAGAGCCCUGCUGCAUCAAAUUCAGCAUCUCAACCACCAGUGGGAAGCCCACAAGCAGAACCUGAGGUCAAAAGCGAUUCUCCCCAGCUUGGGAUUCCCAGCAACGGGUACUCAAGAAGCAUUCAGGGGCCUCCGACAGUGGAAAGAGAACAAAACCAUCAUGGCUAGCCACCGCUGAGUGCCUUGCCCUCCGUGAAUUUGUCUAAUCCUCUUUUAAAGCCAUCCAGGUUGGUGGCCAUCACUGCCUCUUGUGUGAGUGAAUUCCACAGUUUCACUAUGCGCUGUGUGUAAAAGUAAUUCCUUUUGUCUGUUCUGAAUCUCCCACUAUUCCACGUUAUUGGACUGCCUCAACUUCCAUUAUUAUGAGGAAACAAAUUUCUGUCUGCUUUCUCUACCCUGUGCUUAAUUUUAUGCACUUCUAUUGUGUCCAUCCUCCCUUCUCUUUUUCUCUAAACUAAAAAGCCCCAAAUGUUGUAGUCUUCCCUCAUAGGGGAGUUGCAUCAGCCCCCUUUGAUCAUUUUGGCUGCCUUUUUCUGAACCUUUUCUAGCUCUACAACAUCCUUUUUGAGGUAAGGUGACCAAGGUUGUAGGCCUGAUGGUGACAGAACCUGCCCAUCUGCCCGCUUCAUUUAAUUGAUGUGAGCCACUUUGGGAGACAAUAAUUGUCUGGAAAAUGGGAUGGAAAAAACAUAAAGAAAUAAAUACAUUUUUGGGCUUGCUACCCUGUUCUUUUUCUUCUUCCCUCAGCUGCCACUCCUUCUCUUCUUAUCCUGUCAUGGUCUUUCCCCCCCUUUCUUUUAGAUUCUUGUUUAUAACUGGAAUGAAGCCAUAAAGCGAACUUGGAACAAAUUAUGAAUGCAGGGGGAGAAUCAAAAAUUCUCACGCUCAUUCCAUUUGUGUCACUGUGCAGAUCUGGAAUUUAUUAAGCAUGACAGGAGCCAAAAAGCUGCAUCUGACUGGCUAUUUGGGAUUUACAAAAAUUUGGAAUUUGCUACUAUGAAGUUCCCUGGACCGUGGAUUGCUCCAUCCUGUUUCCAGUAUAUAAACUGGAAGGGCAAAUGAAUUUUAAAGGUUCUAGGUUAAACCUCAGGAAAUGAUUUUCUGUUGUUUUUUCCUUACUCACUUGCCAAGCUUCCAGCUCCUGGGAAAGUGCCAUCUUCUGGCGUAUGACACGUAAUAACUGCUGGCUCAUGGAAUCCCGUUCCAGGGAGACUUUUGCCAGUUCCAAUUCCAUCUCCCCUUUCCUAGUUAAAAAAAAAAAAGAACAGAGAGAAACAAAAGAUAAGUAAGGCUGCUACUCUAACCACGUCUACCCAGUAGUAAGUCCCACUGAAUUCAAUGGGACUUACUCCCAGGUAAGCAAGGUUAGGAAGGAUUACAGCCUAAUACAUUAAAGUGCCUCCAGGCACUCACUAUUUUGUGGGAGGGAUUCAUGCACAUACCAUAAAUUUCAGAUUGUGCAAUUAAAGUAUAGUUGUUGUUAUGUGCCUUCAAGUUGAUUACAACUUAUGGCGACCCUAUGAAUCAGUGACCUCCAAGAGCAUCUGUCAUGAACCACCCUGUUCAGAUCUUGUAAGUUCAGGUCUGUGGCUUCCUUUAUGGAAUCAAUCCAUCUCUUGUUUGGCCUUCCUCUUUUUCUACUCCCUUCUGUUUUAUUAAAGUAUAACAACCCCACAAACAAAUCAGAGUGAAUGCUCAAUAAAUACCAGAUGUAAUCUAACUGCCGUGUAAAUUUUGUGGAAGCAGACCAGGAUGAAUACUCAAUAAACUGGUCAUCUGGAGAAGCCCACUGUCAAGCCAAUAAAAAAAUAGAAUUACAUGCAGUUCUCAUUUUGACUUGAAGAUGUCACACUUAUGGAUUAAAGGUGUUCCUUCCCCCCCCCCCAUAUACUCUGUGCAGAUGGGGUGAU